GAUGAACGCUGGCGGCGUGCUUAACACAUGCAAGUCGAACGGAAAGGCUCCUGCUUGCAGGGGUACUCGAGUGGCGAACGGGUGAGUAACACGUGGGUGAUCUGCCCUGCACUUCGGGAUAAGCCUGGGAAACUGGGUCUAAUACCGGAUAGGACGAUGGUUUGGAUGCCAUUGUGGAAAGUUUUUCGGUGUGGGAUGAGCUCGCGGCCUAUCAGCUUGUUGGUGGGGUAAUGGCCUACCAAGGCGUCGACGGGUAGCCGACCUGAGAGGGUGUACGGCCACAUUGGGACUGAGAUACGGCCCAGACUCCUACGGGAGGCAGCAGUGGGGAAUAUUGCACAAUGGGCGCAAGCCUGAUGCAGCGACGCCGCGUGGGGAAUGACGGCCUUCGGGUUGUAAACUCCUUUCGCUAGGGACGAAGCGCAAGUGACGGUACCUGGAGAAGAAGCACCGGCUAACUACGUG
rnacentral:rRNA from 1 species